rnacentral:lncRNA from 1 species
UUUUGAAAUUUUAUCAGACAAAUUAAUUGGCUAAAUUAAGUGUGAGGUGUAGGGGGGGUUUCUUUUGGCUGUAAAAGACCCCUACGCCUCGGGUUCAAGAUAUACAAUAUUUAAAGAUUUCAAAAAAAUUCUGAAAAAAAUUUUCUGAGAGCCGCCAUCCCUUCUUCUCCUUCUUUCUCACGUCUAUCCUCCAUCUCCUUAUUUCUCACGUUCAUCCUCCAUCUCCUUGAAGAACAAUCAAAGGUUGAGUGUUUCGAAAGAGAAAGCUUCAGCCAUUGCAGCGUUCCUACGCGAGCUAGCGCUCCCGCGGAAGACAAUCUACCUAGGGCUUCGCAUGGAUAAUCUAUAGAGGCUAGACACGUGUGCGGCUGCAAAGCGUGAUCAAGGAGUCAUCCAAGACCUUCAAGGAAUCAGGUAUGAGAUUUGAUCUUAUUAAAGUUAAGAUUAGAUCUUAAACAUAGUUGCUGAAAUUUCAGAAUUAUAUGUUAGACAUUCAAUCAUUGUUUCAUGCUUUACAUAAACAUUUAAAUCAUGGUUCUUAUUUUUGUUGUAGAGAUCUGAUCUCUAGCAUGCAUGAAAAUUAAAUAUUUUAAUUUUUUAAAUGCUUCCGCUGUAAUUUUUGAAAAUAAAUGCAUGCAGCCUUUUUGUAGAAACUUUCAUCAUUAAUACCGGUUACUAAUACUAGCUUUGCAUGAAAAAAUGAAAUUUAAUAAUGGUCAAGCAAAAACUCCUGUAAUUAAUACUGGCAUCAUUAACGCCAGCAUCUACAUAAUGAAUGAAAAACUUUGUAAAAGAGCCUUCAUAUAUAAACUCACAUCAUCAAUAUCGAUAUUAUUAAUAUCGAUCCUACAUGAUGUAUAGUAUUUUCUUCUUUUUCCAACUAUUUUUGAGAUGCAAUAUGAUGAUGCAACAAAUUAUAAUAAAUAGAAGACUUCAAUAAAUAAAUUUUUAUUACAUAUUAAGUAAUAAAAUUUAAUGAUAGACGACUGAAAACUCGUGUUAUUUAUAUAAGUUGAACAUCCAUGUAGAAACUCUCAUUAUUACUAUUAAGUGUCAUUAUAUGCCUUUACGAUUUUUUUUCUUUAAUGAUGGCCAAGGAGAAAGCCUUGUCAUUAUGCCAACAUUAUUAAUAUCAGCAUGCACAAAUAGAGGCUUCUGCACAAGUUGAGCCUUUAUGUAGAAACUCCUAUCAUUAAUACCGACAUUACUAUUACUAGCCUUGCACCAAGUAAUGAAUUUUGAUGAUAGCCA